rnacentral:rRNA from 1 species
UAGGGAAUCUUGGACAAUGGGCGAAAGCCUGAUCCAGCCAUGCCGCGUGAGUGAUGAAGGCCUUAGGGUUGUAAAGCUCUUUCGCCAGGGAAGAUAAUGACGGUACCUGGAUAAGAAGCCCCGGCUAACUUCGUGCCAGCAGCCGCGGUAAUACGAAGGGGGCUAGCGUUGUUCGGAAUUACUGGGCGUAAAGCGCACGUAGGCGGCUUUUCAAGUUGGAGGUGAAAUCCCCGGGCUUAACCCGGGAACUGCCUCCAAAACUGAAAGGCUAGAGUCCGAGAGAGNUGAGUGGAAUUUCCAGUGUAGAGGUGAAAUUCGUAGAUAUUGGAAAGAACACCAGUGGCGAAGGCGGCUCACUGGCUCGGUACUGACGCUGAGGUGCGACAGCGUGGGGAGCAAACA